ensembl:misc_RNA 7SK 7SK RNA
UGAUCCGUUUUUUCACACAUCUGUCACCCCAUUGAUUGCCAGGGUUGAUGUGGCUGUUCUGGCUGGCUAGGCUAGUGUCCCUUUCCUCCCUGUGGGUCGCUCCCAAAGCUGUGCACUUGAUCCAAGAGGACCACAUUUCCAGAAUAAAAACUGGCUUUUGGUAAAGGGUAUAUGAAUACCUGUACUCCCCUGCUAGAACUUAAAGACAAGUUCUCAGGGCUCACUAUUUCAGGUCAACAUUUAUAGGUAGAGAGAAAGGGGUUGAGAGAGAGAGAGAGAAGCGUCAUAGUGUGGAAACUU